AUUGAACGCUGGCGGCAUGCCUUACACAUGCAAGUCGAACGGUAACAGGUCUUCGGAUGCUGACGAGUGGCGAACGGGUGAGUAAUACAUCGGAACGUGCCUAGUAGUGGGGGAUAACUACUCGAAAGAGUGGCUAAUACCGCAUGAGAUCUACGGAUGAAGGCAGGGGAUCGCAAGACCUUGUGCUACUAGAGCGGCCGAUGGCAGAUUAGGUAGUUGGUGGGAUAAAAGCUUACCAAGCCGACGAUCUGUAGCUGGUCUGAGAGGACGAUCAGCCACACGGGGACUGCGACACGGCCCAAACUCCUACGGGAGGCAGCAGUGGGGAAUUUUGGACAAUGGGCGCAAGCCUGAUCCAGCAAUGCCGCGUGCAGGGUGAAGGCCUUCGGGUUGUAAACUGCUUUUGUACGGAACGAAAAGCCCCGGGUUAAUACCCUGGGGUCAUGACGGUACCGUAAGAAUAAGCACCGGCUAACUACGUGCCAGCCGCCGCGGUAA
rnacentral:rRNA from 1 species